rnacentral:rRNA from 1 species
UAAGGGCGCACGGUGGAUGCCUUGGCACUAGAAGCCGAUGAAGGACGUUACUAACGACGAUAUGCUUUGGGGAGCUGUAAGUAAGCUUUGAUCCAGAGAUUUCCGAAUGGGGAAACCCAGCAUGAGUUAUGUCAUGUUAUCGAUAUGUGAAUACAUAGCAUAUCAGAAGGCACACCCGGAGAACUGAAACAUCUUAGUACCCGGAGGAAGAGAAAGAAAAUUCGAUUCCCUUAGUAGCGGCGAGCGAAACGGGAAGAGCCCAAACCAACAAGCUUGCUUGUUGGGGUUGUAGGACACUCUAUACGGAGUUACAAAGGACGACAUUAGACGAAUCAUCUGGAAAGAUGAAUCAAAGAAGGUAAUAAUCCUGUAGUCGAAAAUGUUGUCUCUCUUGAGUGGAUCCUGAGUACGACGGAGCACGUGAAAUUCCGUCGGAAUCUGGGAGGACCAUCUCCUAAGGCUAAAUACUCUCUAGUGACCGAUAGUGAACCAGUACCGUGAGGGAAAGGUGAAAAGCACCCCGGAAGGGGAGUGAAAUAGAACCUGAAACCGUGUGCUUACAAGUAGUCAGAGCCCGUUAAUGGGUGAUGGCGUGCCUUUUGUAGAAU